UACGUAGGGUGCGAGCGUUGUCCGGAAUUAUUGGGCGUAAAGAGCUCGUAGGCGGCUUGUCGCGUCGGAUGUGAAAGCCCGGGGCUUAACUCCGGGUCUGCAUUCGAUACGGGCAGGCUAGAGUUCGGUAGGGGAGAUCGGAAUUCCUGGUGUAGCGGUGAAAUGCGCAGAUAUCAGGAGGAACACCGGUGGCGAAGGCGGCGACCUGGGACAAUACUGACGCUGAGGUGCGAAAGCGUGGGGAGCAAACAGG
rnacentral:rRNA from 1 species